UGGGGAAUAUUGCACAAUGGGGGAAACCCUGAUGCAGCGACGCCGCGUGAACGAAGAAGGUAUUCGUAUCGUAAAGUUCUGUCCUAUGGGAAGAUAACGACAGUACCAUAGAAGAAAGCUCCGGCUAAAUACGUGCCAGCAGCCGCGGUAAUACGUAUGGAGCGAGCGUUGUCCGGAAUUAUUGGGCGUAAAGGGUACGCAGGCGGUUUAAUAAGUCGAAUGUUAAAGAUCGGGGCUCAACCCCGCAAAGCAUUGGAAACUGAUAAACUUGAGUAGUGGAGAGGAAAGUGGAAUUCCUAGUGUAGUGGUGAAAUACGUAGAUAUUAGGAGGAAUACCAGUAGCGAAGGCGACUUUCUGGACACAAACUGACGCUGAGGUACGAAAGCGUGGGGAGCAAACAGG
rnacentral:rRNA from 1 species